rnacentral:pre_miRNA from 1 species
UUUGUACUCCCUCUGUCCCAAAAUUCUUGUCUUAAAUUUGUCUGAAUACAGAUGUAUCUAGUUACAUUUUAGUGUUAGAUACAUCCGUAUCUAAACAAAUGUAAGACAAGAAUUUUGGGACGGAGGGAAUACUAC